AACCCCCCUGGUUUUAAGGCCAGGGCAAGAACUUCACUGGCGUCUGCCAGCGUCUGUGUCAGCAUGCCUGUACUAGGUCACAACAAUAGCCCCCACCAGUGUCUCAGUCUCUGGUGAGGUCUCACCUCUCACCGAGAAGCACCCAGAGCCUACCAGUGGAAUUCCCCCUCUAAUUACAACUACCAACCAGGAGAAAAAUACGUGUUUCUGGAUUUCACUUUGCCUGCUUCUUGAUGCGUGUUUUCUUGAGGAGAUCCUAAUGUAUACAUUACAUUUUUAAAUUCAAGUGAAGGCUAAAGAAUGAAGGUUGCUGUUGAGGUGUUAACUUCUCGGCUCUUCAAGCCUGCCUUUUAAAGUGUUGAGCCUACGCUUGUAGCCAGAAAAAUUCCUUGGACUGAGUGACACAGCUGCUUGCUGUAGGAAGCUAUUGACGUAUACAAGAGCUAUCCACAAAGCUGAGUGAGAUGAUUGCUCCUUGCUGUUUGCUAUGCACUCUGUGGAUUCCACGCUGAGAUCACUACAGUUGGAGAAGGAUGGCCUCUAUCAAAGCAAGUCAGAGAAACUCCCAGGAGAGAAGCCAAGGUGUCAUUUCCUGGGACCAAAUGAGGUAUAAACUUAAAGACGAGAGAGGCUAGCUCAACCCAGCCUGAUGUCAUGAGCAUAUGUAAUGUAAACCAGAGAGCUGUGGAAUCAGCCAUCUUCCACCAUGUGCAUGGAGAAACAGCAAAUGGCAGUCUGUGGAGGGAGAAGAAUGGAGCGGAUGUGCACAGAGAAACAGUUUUAUUGAUGGACAAAGAAUUGCACAUAUUUAACAUGGAAAAUUUGAUGAAUUUGGUCAUCAGCAAACAUCCUUGAUACCAUCACCACAAUCAGAUAAUAGACAGAUCCAACACCUCCAAGAGUUUUCUGGUUUUCCUUAAGUUUUUUUGUGUGUGUAUAUGUGGUAAGAACACUUAACGUCAUUCUUAUUAUUAAACAGAAGGUGAGUUAUGGACCAACAGAUGUUACCAAACCAAGCAAGGAAUCGAAAUAGAAAUGUUUACUUUUGCUGCAUGAUAGUAGAAUAAUGUGCUUAUUUUUGUUCAUUCGCUCAUUCAUUUGCUGAGAUAUUUACUGUGUUCCACUUGUGUUGUUUUUAGCACUUAAGAUGCAGUCGUGGAAAAGAGACCAGUUUCUUAUCAAUGAGGUUUACAUUUUAAUGGGGAAAUAGAAGAAAUGCUUUUGUUUUGAAAACCUUCAGCUGCAAUGACUUUUGAAUUAAUUUCUUCAGGCAUUUAAUUAUUCAUUAAGUUACUUUUGAAGCAAUUAUUCAAAAAUCAUGUUCAACAUAGUAUUUACCAUAAUAAAAGUGAUGUUAUUUGGAGAAAUUUUUAGAAAACAAAAUAAAGUUUAAAACCACCUAUAAUUACAUAAUAUGGAAGACUAUGGCAGUCAGUAAUGUGUGUCUAUGUCCUCCAUUUUUCUCUAUAUUUAGAUUUAUGGACCAAUGUAAUUUUCUGAAAACAAAGGAAUUGAUUUCAUAAAUUACUUUCCCUCAUUCUGUUAAAUAUUCUCUAAGAAUAUGACUUCCCCUAUUCAUAAUCUGGAAUAAAUAUGCUGCAAUUUAUUUAAGUAGUAUUCUAUCAUUAGACUUUGAGGGUAUUUUUCUCAAAUUUAUUUAAGUAACACUACGAUAAAUAGCCUGUAUACACAUCUUGGUAUGUGUCUAUGACUAUCUUCUUAGGGUAAAUGUCUAGAAGUGACUUGAUUGUGUGAAAGUCUAUUAAACAUAUACAGAUUUUAUACAUCAUCUCAACUACCCCUCCAAAGAAUGUAAUUUUACCACAUUAUAAUUUAUCAAUGUUUAUUUCCCUGCAUCCUUACUAGUAUUAGAUAUUUUCAGGUUUUCCCUCUAAUCACAGCCCAAUUGUCUACAGAAAAAAAAAUAUGUCAUUGGUUUAACUUUCAAUCCUUUGAUGAUAAGCAAGUUAAGCACUUGUUCACAUUUAUUGUUCACUGUUGUAUUGGUUAAUUGCCUUUUACAUUUCUGCCCAUAUAUCUAUUUUGUGAUUCAACUCGUAUUUUUUCUUUGUGAAAAUCUCUGUAUAUUAAGCAUAAUUAACUAUAAUUUUGUUAUAUAUUUUAAAUUACUUUUCUGGUGUUUCCUUUACCUUUUAUGGUAUUUUGGAGAUUCCAUUUUUACGUUGUUAAACCUAUUAAUGUUUACCUUUAAUUUUCUCUGGCUGCUUGUGUGGUUAAAAUCGUUUUCCACUUUGAUAUCAGAAAUUAUUUUUGUAUCUGAGCUUCAAGUUCUUCUAUUUUUUAUAAAAAGAAAGAAUCGAGUGUGGAUUUUUUUAAAUAGUAGGAGUUUUGUGGUUGAUCAGUUCUCCUGGUGUGUAUGUAUAUGCAUGCAUGUAUUAUGUAUUUUUUUAUUUCUAAAAUUUGUUUUGGAAUAGACCUUCUUCAAUGAUUUAAAAAUUCUACUUUUAUUGCAUACUAGAUUUUUAUGUAAAUUUAGCUCUGGACAGUUCUCUCACGGUUUGUGUAUUGUACAGGAUAAAACUGUUUUAGCUGUUAUAUUUUCAUAAUGUAUUUACAUAUUUGAUAA
rnacentral:lncRNA from 1 species